AGAGAUAAAUCCCUUCCUUCUCCUCUUCGUGUUUCUCUUCUUCUUCAAUGCAUUCCUCUUCUUCUUUCGCAUUCAUCUCAACUUUUUCAACUUGAUUAGAAGGAGAAAGACAAGAAAGAGAAGGUGAAGGUGAAGAUGAAGAUGAAGAUGACCACGAAGAAGAAGGGUUUUUUUU
rnacentral:pre_miRNA from 13 species